GACGAACGCUGGCGGCGUGCUUAACACAUGCAAGUCGAACGGAAAGGCCCUGCUUGCAGGGUACUCGCGUGGCGAACGGGUGAGUAACACGUGGGUGAUCUGCCCUGCACUUCGGGAUAAGCCUGGGAAACUGGGUCUAAUACCGGAUAGGAGACAUUUUUAGUGUGAUGGUUGGACAGUUUUUUGCGGUGUAGGAUGAGCUCGCGGCCUGUCAGCUUGUUGGUGGGGUAAUGGCUUACCAAGGCGGCGACGGGUAGCCGGCCUGCGAGGGUGGACGGCCACAUUGGGACUGAGCGGCAGCCAGGACUCCUACGGGAGGCAGAAGGGGGGAAUGUUGCACGAUGGGCGCCAGCCUGAUGCAACGACGUCGCGGGGUGGAUGACGGCUUUCAGGUUGGAAGCUCCUUUCGCUAGGGACGAAGCCUUUUGUGACGGUACCUAGAUAAGAAGCACCGGCUAACUAAGUG
rnacentral:rRNA from 1 species